GCACUGGUUAUGCUCCAGGAUGAGGGGAACAG
rnacentral:scRNA from 1 species